rnacentral:lncRNA from 1 species
CACUUAAUCUACAACUCGCAAUUAAUCUAGGACUCAUAAUUUUUCUUCAAGCUCCUAAUCAAAAGCAAUUCCAUUGUACAUUGGAAUAGUUGAACAUUGGUUAAUCAUCAUGACAACUUUUUCAAUUACUCCUGCCAAGAUAAGAGAAACACAUUAUUAGUCAACAUACACAAUUUAACAUAUUGUAAGGUACAAAUAACAAAGUUAAAAUAACUUAAAAAUUAUAAUUACUCCAAUUGUUAGUUUAAUCAAUUGAUUUCAGUUUUUGAAAGAAACAAUUCUCAAGCUAGAAGAAACAAGAGUGAGUAUAAGUGGAUAAAACAAAGUUUCUAGGCUAUAAAUUAUUUCCCUAACUAGAUUUAAAAAAAAAAUCACUUCUUUAUGUUAGAACAACAACAUUUAUAUCGAGUGGAAUACAUCUACAUGAGUUUAGUACCUCAUGAUUUUUAGGCCUUAGGAAGAACUGCGGAAAGUUUGGUCCAAAGGUUAACUCUUGACAGAAAGAGAUCCAUCAUAUAUUCAUUCUCCAUCACUUAAAUAAAUUUAGUUGUAGAUUAAAAAUAAUACUAAUUACUUUCUAAAUGUCGAUUCAAAAUUCUCACUAAUCAACAGAGCAAACAGAAAAUGAAAUAAACUAACAUGUGCAAGAUAACAAUUCCCUAUGAUCAUUAGCUACAAAUCGACCAAAACUAAAAUGAGCCACACCAAAAAGAGAGCUAAAAAGGCACUGAACAAGUAAAUAUGUUGCUAGGGAUUACUAGCACAAUAGAAUAAAUGUCAUCGAGAUUAACAGAUAUACCUUAUCAAUCAACAACAAUUGGAAACAAUGGUAAAGGUUUAGUGAUUCUUACUAUCAAGCUAUAAGACGUUAAAAGAAAAUCAGAGAUACAAACCUUGUUAGAUAUGACAAAGUGGCCACCAACUUUUAGGAAAUAUGAUGCAUUAGAGCCAAAAUUCUUGCAUAUAGGGGAUGAAUAAAUUAAAGACUUCAGAGGAGGGGAUGAGUCGAAUAAAGACUUGAUACCAUGCUUCUUAAAAAUCCAUCAAACCAUUUUGAUGCGUCCAUUGGGCAAGUUUGCUAGCUAAACAAAUAAAACAAAACAACAAAACAAAACAAGAUCUGUCAACGAGGAUUAAUCUAAUUACAUAAAUUAAAUCUUAUUUGAGAGAGCAUUUUACUUGAAAUUAAUGUAGUGAGAAUGCAAAGUAGAAGAAGUUCCAAACCAGUGCUCAGCGUGUCGUCUUCCCCCAAUUGCUGCUCCAAUUGAUAUUGUAGGCUAGUUCCA